GACGAACGCUGGCGGCGUGCUUAACACAUGCAAGUCGAACGGAAAGGCCCUGCUUUUGUGGGGUGCUCGAGUGGCGAACGGGUGAGUAACACGUGAGUAACCUGCCCUUGACUUUGGGAUAACUUCAGGAAACUGGGGCUAAUACCGGAUAGGAGCUCCUGCUGCAUGGUGGGGGUUGGAAAGUUUCGGCGGUUGGGGAUGGACUCGCGGCUUAUCAGCUUGUUGGUGGGGUAGUGGCUUACCAAGGCUUUGACGGGUAGCCGGCCUGAGAGGGUGACCGGCCACAUUGGGAAUGAGAUACGGCCCAGACUCCUACGGGAGGCAGGAGUGGGGAAUAUUGCACAAUGGGCGGAAGCCUGAUGCAGCAACGCCGCGUGCGGGAUGACGGCCUUCGGGUUGUAAACCGCUUUCGCCUGUGACGAAGCGUGAGUGACGGUAAUGGGUAAAGAAGCACCGGCUAACUACGUG
rnacentral:rRNA from 1 species